rnacentral:rRNA from 1 species
UAGGGAAUCUUCCACAAUGGGCGAAAGCCUGAUGGAGCAACGCCGCGUGUGUGAUGAAGGCUUUCGGGUCGUAAAGCACUGUCGUAUGGGAAGAACAGCUAGAAUAGGAAAUGAUUUUAGUUUGACGGUACCAUACCAGAAAGGGACGGCUAAAUACGUGCCAA